GUCAGAUCAGACUCGCCAUUUCAUAAAGAGAAAAAAAAUGGCCCUAUUACACUCAUGGUCAGGUAAGCGCUUAUGCUGCUUGACGCAACUACCACUGGAAAGCAUCAAACAAGCAAGAGUUCCACGCCUGGGAAGGCUUAUUCACCGAAUUCACUGACUAAGCCAACUCCUUACUCGACCCGGAGGCACCCUCUGCCGCCGUUACAAUGGGAAUGCAUCCGCCCUAAUGGAAAUGAGAGGCCGGUCAGAGAUCGAAGACGAACCAUCUCCAGGCCCCUAACAGGGGAGGAAGCCGGCUGUUAACUAGGAACCCGCCUCCUUGAGUGCCUUUAACCAGGUACUGACCCGGAUAUGAGCUCAUCAGC
rnacentral:misc_RNA from 1 species